GACGAACGCUGGCGGCGUGCCUAAUACAUGCAAGUCGAACGCAGUGGGGACGGGUGAGUAACACGUGGCUAACCUCCCAUCAGAGGGUAUAACACUUGGAAACUGGUGCUAAACUGAUACUGAUGGAUGGACCCGCGGUGCAUUAGGUAGUUGGUGAGGUAACGGCUCACCAAGGCAACGAUGCAUAGCCGACCUGAGGGGGUGAUCGGCCACACAGGGACUGAGAAACGGCCCAGACUCCUAGAGGAGGCAGCGUUAGAGAAUCUUCGGAAAUGGACGAAAGUCUGGCCGAGAAACGCCGCGUGAGUGAAGACGGUUUUCGGGUCGUCAAGCUCUAUUGUUAGGUGAACGAUAUCUAACCAAGAAGCCACGGCUAACUACGUGCCAGCAGCCGCGGUAAUUC
rnacentral:rRNA from 1 species